rnacentral:rRNA from 1 species
UACGUAGGGACCGAGCGUUGUCCGGAAUCAUUGGGCGUAAAGAGCGUGUAGGCGGCCCGGUAAGUCCGCUGUAAAAGUCAAAGGCUCAACCUUUGAAUGUCAGUGGAUACUGCCGGGCUAGAGUCCGGAAGAGGCGAGUGGAACUCCUGGUGUAGCGGUGGAAUGCGCAGAUAUCAGGAAGAACACCAACGGCGAAGGCAGCUCGCUGGGACGGUACUGACGCUGAGACGCGAAAGCGUGGGGAGCGAACAGG